rnacentral:rRNA from 1 species
UACGUAGGGGGCAAGCGUUGUCCGGAAUCAUUGGGCGUAAAGAGCGUGUAAGCGGCCCGAUAAGUCCGCUGUGAAAGUCCGAGGGCUCCAACCCGUGGGAUGCCGGUGGAUACGUGUCGGGCUCGAAUCCGGAAGAGGUGAGUGGAAUUCCUGGUGUAGCGGUGAAAUGCGCAGAUAUCAGGAGGAACACCGGUGGCGAAGGCGGUUCUCUGGGCCUUACCUGACGCUGAGGAGCGAAAGCAUGGGGAGCGAACAGG